UACGUAGGGACCAAGCGUUGUUCGGAUUUACUGGGCGUAAAGGGCGCGUAGGCGGCGUGUUAAGUCACUUGUGAAAUCUCUAAGCUUAACUUAGAACGGUCAAGUGAUACUGAUGUGCUAGAGUGCAGAAGGGGGCAACCGGAAUUCUUGGUGUAGCGGUGAAAUGCGUAGAUAUCAAGAGGAACACCUGAGGUGAAGACGGGUUGCUGGGCUGACACUGACGCUGAGGCGCGAAAGCUAGGGGUAGCAAACGGG
rnacentral:rRNA from 1 species